ACAACUGUCCUCCGUGCCAACCCACAGUGCGCAAGCCCCGGUGCAGGAAUCUACUGACAGUGGCUUCUGCUUGGGGACAAAGCUGCAUUUCACAGGCCUGCCCGCAUCCAUCAAACCUCGGUGAGCAUCCUUUUCUCCGCAUAAGCUCGAUGUGGAGUCGGAAGGUAGCUGGGCCGGCGUUCCCGUGAAGCCUCGGCAAAGUCAGGUUUGCCAAGCCCAUUGUCCGUUGCCUUCAAGUCCGGAGUGGGCUGCCCACAAGUGACGUGGGUAUACUGGCCUUGCUCCUCCUGCUCCGUCUCUCGGUGGUAGAAGUAGUUGAAAUUGGAGACAAUGACCGGUACCGGUAAUGCAAUGGUGAGGACCCCAGCAAUGGCGCACAGUGAGCCCACAAUCUUGCCCCCUACCGUCAUGGGGUACAUGUCCCCAUAACCUACCGUGGUCAUUGUAACCACAGCCCACCAGAAGGCAUCUGGGAUGCUAGGGAAGAGCGAGUCAACAUCAUCAGCCUCUGCGAAGUAGACAGCGCUGGAAAAGAGGAUGACUCCGAUGAAGAGGAAGAAGAUGAGCAGCCCGAGCUCCCGCAUGGACGCCUGUAAGGUCUUACCCAGGAUCUGCAGCCCCUUGGAAUGGCGGGAGAGCUUGAAGAUUCGGAACACCCGGACCAGGCGGAUCACCCUGAGGAUGGCUAGGGACAUGGCCUGCUGCCCAUUCUGACCACUGCCACCACUCACAGACUGCUGCUCGUGACGUUGCACUAGCUCGGUGCCCAAGGUGAUAAAGUAGGGGAAAAUGGCCACCAAGUCAAUGAUGUUCAUGAUAUUGCGAAAGAAGGCCGCCUUGCUGGGACAGGCAGAGAAGCGCACCAGGAGCUCAAACGUGAACCAGACGAUACACAGAGUUUCCACCAAGAAGAAGGGGUCUGUGAAGAAAGAACCCCCGAGAGUACUAAGUGAAGAUGUUCCUCCAGUCCCCAACCCCCCAGAGGGAAUGCUACCAGGAAAUGCAUAGGAAUCUUCAUCCUCAUCUUCUUCCUCGUGGCUCCUGGAGGCCGGAGACAAGCGGGUCCCACUACCCUCGUUGCUUCCACCGCGCCCAUCUGCACGGAAUUGAGGCAAGGUCUCCAGGCAAAAGAUGACGAUGGAGAUGAGGAUGACCAAUACUGAGACGAUGGCGAUGCCUCGGGCGGGCCCGGAACUCUCCGGGUACUCAAAGAGAAGCCAGACCUGUCGCUGGAAAGGCUGGGAGGGGAGUGGUUUCUCAUCCUCGCCACCUUCGGGCAGGCAACCCUCAUCCUCCCGGAAGGCCGCCAGGGCUUCCUCUCCCAACUGAUAGAAGCGGAUCUCUUCCAUAAAAAUGUCCAGGGGCACAUUAACAGGCCUGCGCAGGCGACCUCCAGAUUGAUAGUAAUAAAGGAUAGCGUCGAAGCUGGGUCGGUUGCGGUCAAAGAAGUACUCGUUCCUCAAGGGGUCAAAGAAACGGACUCUGCGGCCAGGGUCUCCUAGCAGCGUGUCAGGGAACAGCGACAGGGUGCGCAGCUGCGUCUCGAAGCGCAGCCCGGAGAUGUUGAUCACCAACCUCUCACUACUACAGCAGCCGCCGCCGCCCUCGGCCUCCUGGAACUCACCCGCAUCCUGUUGCUCCCCCUCCGGCCCACGGACCUCCCCCGGCGCCGCCAGCGUCAGGGAUUUCUCCGAUCUCAUGUCACCUCGGCGGUGCGCUCCCCGCCACUAGGACGGCGCCCACGACACGAGCUCCAGAGAGCGGCACCCGCUUCACAGCUUCGGCUGUGCCCUCCUUUAGGGUGGGGCCCGUGCUCUGACCUGGCGGUUAGGUCGGUGAGCCCUGCAGCUGGUCCCUCUGCCAGGCUAGGUCUGGGAAGUGGCUCUGGCUCUCAAUAGCCGCGCCUCCGUGCUCAGGAUUUCUGAGAUGCCUGGAACCCGCAAACUGUCGCGCGCGUGAAACUGGCUGCCCGAAAAGACGCGUGGCUUAGCUCUCGAUGGUGCCUAAAACUGGGCUCAGGACCCACAGGUCCGCCCUCCAGACCUGCUGGCUCUCACCAGGUCCUACUGCGCUUCUCCAGCUGCACACGACUCUGGGUUGCCGCUGGUACCUAAGCGCCAGAUGCGCCUCCCUCUGGCUCACCAAAGACUCCUGCCCGGGCUCGGCCUCCGCCUCCGCCCUACGUCCACCACCGAACUAGGUCUGGCCAAGGUCGCGAUUGCAGCCGCCACCUUCUUCCCCAGGAGCUAGCUGUUCUAGAGGCCUCGGAAUCGCCCUGGGCCUUCCCGGGCGCCGAAGCGCGGAGACCCACCUCCCCACCGCUUCAAGCCUUGCCUGCACCCGCAGCAGCCCCAGCAGCAGCAACAGCAGCAGCAGCAGCAGCAGCAGCAGCAGCAGCAACAGCAGCAGCAGGCUCAGCUCUCAGCUCUGCCCUUCCUCCUUAACACACUCUCCAAGUGACGUGGCAGGCCCCGCCUGCUGCCCCCUCCCACCCCACUCUCACAUCACACCCCUUACCCAGUCAGGGGCUGCAGCAAGCCUGGAUGCUGGGGAGAGAUGUGUAUACUUGCCUCCCCAGUAAUCUUUCCCGCGCUCUCCUGGCAUGCCUCUUGCUUUCUCACAUUCACACGCACGCCCCCACCCCCACCCCAACCAAGCCGCAGUAUCCUAAUAACACACCCACUCCAUCUCUCCAUAGUCAGUCAUCUCUUCUCGUUUCUGUUCACCGAGCUGACCUGCUCAGUGUAUUUCAGCAAAAAGAAAUCACAUACGCUGGCCCACAACACACCCCUGCCCAAUAAGCUAUACACAGCACCUGACCCCUCCACAGCUAUUUACUUGGGGGGGUCGGGGGGGGGGGACACAGGAGAGGGGAAAAUCCAUGUUUUUUAUAUCCAUGAAGACAUGUUUGCCAUUUUCAANNNNNNNNGGGGGGGGGGGAGAUGAAGUAUUUUUAAAUGUCUUGAGAGCUUUCCAUUUAGGCUGUGUCCCAAUGUUAAUUCCCCAUCAGACUCUCACUUUUGCAACCUGGAAAGGCAAGGCUGCAGCUCUCUUUCAAGGCGUAGUGAUAGUAAGAGGGGAGGAAAAGCCUGCCCGUGCCCAGUGCUCUCAUGGAGUCCUGAAGACGUCCACCAUCAUCUCCAUGAAAAAGCACCAGAAGACUAUGAUAUUGAAGAAACACUAUAUACAAGGAAUAGCAGCCAAGAAUCUUUGCUUCACGCCUCCUUUGGAGAAAAAAAGAAGAAAAGAAAAAAGUAAAUAAAAAGAUUCUGCAAUUUAUACUUAUCUGUGUCAAGAAAAGGGAGGAAAGGAAAAACAAAAAGGAGGUAGUCAAAGUGUCAAUAAACAAUGUAGCUAUGUGUGAUGAGCAUCUAAUAAACACAUUUUAGUUGCUUU
ensembl:antisense Gm26673 predicted gene, 26673